rnacentral:rRNA from 1 species
CCUACGGGUGGCAGCAGUAGGGAAUAUUGGACAAUGGGCGAAAGCCUGAUCCAGCAAUGCCGCGUGAGUGAUGAAGGCCUUAGGGUUGUAAAGCUCUUUUACCCGAGAUGAUAAUGACAGUAUCGGGAGAAUAAGCUCCGGCUAACUCCGUGCCAGCAGCCGCGGUAAUACGGAGGGAGCUAGCGUUGUUCGGAAUUACUGGGCGUAAAGCGCACGUAGGCGGCGAUUUAAGUCAGAGGUGAAAGCCCGGGGCUCAACCCCGGAACUGCCUUUGAGACUGGAUUGCUAGAAUCUUGGAGAGGCGAGUGGAAUUCCGAGUGUAGAGGUGAAAUUCGUAGAUAUUCGGAAGAACACCAGUGGCGAAGGCGGCUCGCUGGACAAGUAUUGACGCUGAGGUGCGAAAGCGUGGGGAGCAAACAGGAUUAGAUACCCCAGUAGUC